rnacentral:misc_RNA from 1 species
AAAUGCGAUAAGUAAUGUGAAUUGCAGAAUUCAGUGAAUCAUCGAAUCUUUGAACGCACCUUGCGCUCCUUGGUAUUCCUUGGAGCAUGCCUGUUUGAGUAUCAUGAAAUCUUCAAAGUAAAUCUUUUGUUAACUCAAUUGGUUUCUACUUUGGUAUUGGAGGUCUUUGCAGCUUCACACCUGCUCCUCUUUGUUCAUUAGCUGGAUCUCAGUGUUAUGCUUGGUUCCACUCGGCGUGAUAAGUUAUCUAUCGCUGAGGACACUGUAAAAGGUGGCCAAGGUAAAUGCAGAUGAACCGCUUCUAAUAGUCCAUUGACUUGGACAAUACUUUUAUGAUCUGAUCUCAAGUCAGGUAGAACUACCCGCUGAACUUACGC